rnacentral:rRNA from 1 species
UGGGGAAUUCUGGACAAUGGGCGAAAGCCUGAUCCAGCAAUGCCGCGUGUGUGAAGAAGGCCUUCGGGUUGUAAAGCACUUUUGUCCGGAAAGAAAUCCUUGGCUCUAAUACAGUCGGGGGAUGACGGUACCGGAAGAAUAAGCACCGGCUAACUACGUGCCAGCAGCCGCGGUAAUACGUAGGGUGCAAGCGUUAAUCGGAAUUACUGGGCGUAAAGCGUGCGCAGGCGGUUUGCUAAGACCGAUGUGAAAUCCCCGGGCUCAACCUGGGAACUGCAUUGGUGACUGGCAGGCUAGAGUAUGGCAGAGGGGGGUAGAAUUCCACGUGUAGCAGUGAAAUGCGUAGAGAUGUGGAGGAAUACCGAUGGCGAAGGCAGCCCCCUGGGCCAAUACUGACGCUCAUGCACGAAAGCGUGGGGAGCAAACAGGAUUAGAUACCCUGGUAGUCCACGCCCUAAACGAUGUCAACUAGUUGUUGGGGAUUCAUUUCCUUAGUAACGUAGCUAACGCGUGAAGUUGACCGCCUGGGGAGUACGGUCGCAAGAUUAAAACUCAAAGGAAUUGACGGGGUCAUAGCUGUUUCCU